GAUGUACAUGCAGGCAGAACACUAUACAAAACAAACAAAUAAACAAACAAAUACAUCUUUUUAAAGAAAAAAGAAAACAGAAGAAACGAAACAGCCCUGCUGACCCUGACUUUGGGCUACCUGCCUCAAAGACCGUGAGAAGAUAGAUGUUUAAGCCCUUAGCCCCAGUUCUUUGCUGCACCUGCUGCAGCAGCCAACACUGCCAUGGGAAGACCCUACCCUGUUCACAGUCAGCUUCACAGUGUUGUGGGUUCAGGAGCUGCUCCAACCACCACAGGCUGUGAGAAUCCAGAAGAUCCACAAUCAAGUCUUUUACCCAUCCAGGCUGAAAGGAAGAAGAACAAAGUCAACAAGUUCCUGGUGGGCGCACAGUAAGACGGUCUCAGACUCCAUUCCACUCAAGUAUGCCUACUUUGUUUCAAACUGUCAUCCUAUUUUGUCUUUUUUUUUUUAAAAAAAAAAACCUUCAAGUUUUAUUUUAAUAAAGCAUUGGGUUUUAGGAGGUCUUGCUAUGUUUCCUAGGAUGGCUGGAAUUCCUAGAUCUAAAUGAUCUUCUUGCCUAAGCUUUCCUAGGAUCUGGAACUUCAGACAGAUACUGUUGCUCCUAGCUGCUUUUGUUUCUUUUAAUAAAACAUACUUUCAAAUGAACUGCCAGAUACUUUUCAUCAAUCUACAAUAUAAUGUUCUGUAUUUCAUCACUAUAGAAUCAAGCUUGACAAAUAAUGAGGAAAUAUUCUUCCUAAAACUAUUAUGACCUUGGAUGCUUUGGGAGCAAAACUCAACAAAAUUAACACUUAGAACAGUUUUUUACAAAUAAUUCCUUCUCUCUUGGCAGACGGGUAAGAGUAAAGGGCCCUCCCUUGUGAGUAUCGGGGCAGAGAACAGAGAAGCAGUGCGAAUGGCUCCGGAAAAGCAAACAAGACUGUGCAGGUCAGCGGCGCUGGAAGCAAUCGGAUUUGAACAGUGUUGACAGACACUCAGGAGCUGAGGAGCCUGAGGAACCUCAAACACUGCAAUUAAACCUUGACUAGAGAGAGGAAAUGAAGGUGCAGAUGACAGGCAAGAGGCAGGCAAGUUGCAAAGAGCUUAGACAUUUCUCCAAAGUCAGCAGGAAUCAUGAAGGCUUCUGAGCACUGAUACUCUCAAAAACACACUUCAUGAAGAUCAAGUGACCAGAGUUCAGGAGGAGCAAGAGAGGCAGAGGCUGGGCUGACUCGAGAUGUUUGACUCCCCAGUGCUAAUUGGAAAGGAAGGAAAUGGAUGGAAUUAUAGCAUCAUUUAUUUCUAAAUGCCUGCAGGUAUGCCAAUCAGGAAGAGAAAAGAAAUGCUUCCAGAGACUGCAAUCAAAUUAAGCAGCAACCUCUUUCUAUACUACACUCUAACAGUUACUUCUCCGUCCAGCCUCAACCAUCAAGAGUCCUUUAGGAAGCUCCUCUCUUCCUGUGCCUCGUCAAAUCCAUGGCCAUAUCCUUUAUGGAGGAUAUUCGCCUUUCUCUACCUGGUCCUUGAAAUCCUGUCUGUGAUUAGGGUAUGUACCAACAUGCCCAGCUCCUCCUCUCUCUAGAAUAAGGUCUUGCUGUUGCUCAAGUGCAUUCUAAAUUCCUAAGAAGCUGGGACUACCUAUGUGUAUCCUGUCUGGCUUCGUUUGCCCAGCUUAAGACCCUUCUUAACCACAUCUACUGUGUUUAGACCAUGCUAUUCCUGUACUUCUAACAUUUACUGCCAGGUAAAAGUAUACAUCUGUUGAUUAGGACAAAACGGAAAUUAUGUAAUACAAUUAUGGGCAGAGCUGAAGUCUUUACUCUAAGCCUGUGGCUGACUCCCUCCCUCCCAACCUGUCCCAGGACAAUUGCUGUCUUUCUAGAGCCGAGGACACACACAGUGGUGACCAAUCUUGGUUAUCAGCUUCACUAUAUUUGUCAUCAACCAAAACCCAAGCAGCUGGGAGCACCUGUGGGAGAUUUUCUUGAUUGGACCAUUUGAGGAGAAAGACCCACCCCAAAUGUGAACCACACUCCUUGUGGCAGCCCACAGAAAAGGACAAGGGAGGCCUGCUUGCCCUCACUCCUGGCAAGUUCACCCACCUGCUGCUGAGGCCUCCCUUCCCUGGUAUUAGAACCCACUUCUUCAUGAUGCCAAGGCAGACUGAAGAGCAGCUGCUCUCUAGGAUUCCCAGGGACUCCAGCGUCAGAUGGAGACAGCAGAGACAUCAGUCUCCUGGACUGAACAACUACCAGGUCCUUGGCCUUUCCAUCGGGAAACAACCAUUGUUGCACUAACAGACCAGAGCUUGUGAGGAAUUCUAAUAAAUCAUCCUUCUUUAAAAUAUA